rnacentral:tRNA from 1 species
GGAGAGAUGUCCGAGCUGGUCUAAGGGGCACGAUUGGAAAUCGUGUGAGGCUUAACCGCCUCCCAGGGUUCGAAUCCCUGUCUCUCCGCCA